GAAUUGACGGGGGCCCGCACAAGCGGCGGAGCAUGUGGAUUAAUUCGAUGCAACGCGAAGAACCUUACCUGGGUUUGACAUACACCAGAAAGCCAUAGAGAUAUGGCCCCCCUUGUGGUUGGUGUACAGGUGGUGCAUGGCUGUCGUCAGCUCGUGUCGUGAGAUGUUGGGUUAAGUCCCGCAACGAGCGCAACCCUUGUCCUGUGUUGCCAGCACGUAAUGGUGGGGACUCGCAGGAGACUGCCGGGGUCAACUCGGAGGAAGGUGGGGAUGACGUCAAGUCAUCAUGCCCCUUAUGUCCAGGGCUUCACACAUGCUACAAUGGCCGGUACAGAGGGCUGCGAUACCGUGAGGUGGAGCGAAUCCCUUAAAGCCGGUCUCAGUUCGGAUCGGGGUCUGCAACUCGACCCCGUGAAGUCGGAGUCGCUAGUAAUCGCAGAUCAGCAACGCUGCGGUGAAUACGUU
rnacentral:rRNA from 1 species